rnacentral:rRNA from 1 species
CGCGUAGGCGGGAGAACAAGCCAGAUGUGAAAUGUGGGGGCUUAACCCUCAAGCUGCAUUUGAAACUGUACUUCUUGAGUAUCGGAGAGGCAGGCGGAAUUCCUAGUGUAGCGGUGAAAUGCGUAGAUAUUAGGAGGAACACCAGUGGCGAAGGCGGCCUGCUGGACGACAACUGACGCUGAGGCGCGAAAGCGUGGGGAGCAAACA